rnacentral:rRNA from 1 species
UGUCUGGUAUCUUUAGUUUAACAAAAAGCACACUCAUCCAUUCCGAAUUGAGUAGUUAAAGGUUAAACGGCGAAAAUACUUGUAGGGUCACUUACUGGGAAAAUAGCUGAUGCCAGGCA